AACACCUGCAGAUCUUGUUAAAAUGCAGAUUCUGAUUCAGUAAGUCUCCAUGGGACCCAUGAAUCUGCAUUUUUAACAAGUUCCCAGGUGGCACUUG
rnacentral:pre_miRNA from 1 species